rnacentral:lncRNA from 1 species
UUUUUUUUUUUUUUUUUUUUUUGUCCUUUUGCCUUUUCUAGGGCCGGUUCCUGUGGCAUACGGAGCUUCCCAGGCUAGGGGUCUAAUCAGAGCUGUAGCCACCAGCCUACGCCAGAGCCACAGCAACACGGGAUCCAAGCCACGUCUGCAACCUACACCACAGCUCACAGCAACACCGGAUCCUUAACCCACUGAGCAAGGCCAGGGAUCGAACCCACAACCUCAUGGUUCCUAGUCAGAUUCAUUAACCACUGUGCCACGACAGAAGCUCCUGAAUUAUAUACUUUAAAACAAGAGCCAGAGUUCUCUUAUGGCUCAGUGGGUUAAGGAUCCGGCAAUGUCACUGAGGCAUCUUGGGCCACUGUUGUGGCAUGGGUUCAAUCCCUAACCUGGGAACUUCUGCAUGCUGUAAGCAAAGCCAUAAAGUGGGGGGGGGGAUAUUUUAUGUUAUGUAAAUUAUACCUCAAUAUAACUGUGAAGGAGAAGGGAAAGGAGGGACGGGGAAGCAGAGGGACUACAGUGCAUCUGAGAUGAUGGAUAAAAUGGAUAGAUCUCAAAGAGGUAAUCUGACUAAAGUUUCAGCUAGAUAGAUGGCAGAACCAAUACUGAAACCUAAGCUUGACUACAAAAUCCUUAUUCUUUCUACAUCCAGAAGGGUACAUCAGAAGCAGUAGAAGCAAGGUAUAUCUUACUCAACUUCCCAAGGAUAAAUUCAAUCCAUCAGUAAAAUAGUAUAUGGGACAUACACAAAAGGUUCCUUUAAAACUGAGAAUUAAGAGAUUUAAAUGUAAGAGGUAAAUCAUCUGUAGAAUGAAAAAGUUAAAUAGACAAAAUACCAACAAAGUGGCAUGGGAACCAGGAGGACCCGCAUCUUGUCCAUGACUGUAUGAAAGCUAAAAUCAAAUUAACUGAACAGUGAGGAGAGAUGAAACAAAUUAAAUCUGGCACUUUGUCUCCAACACUGUCUCUGGAUAGUGUUCUGACCCAGAUCUGCUGUAGUGCAGCUAUAUAUAUCAGGCUCCAUAAUACUGACAACUAUGAUGAUCCAACUCGUUCUGAGUUAAUUCCAGUUUUACUAGUCAAUCUUCAGGUUAUAAUCUGUGUCUGACAUAGGUCUUCCCACAGGAGGAGAAUGCAAUGACUGGUGAGCACAGACACAUUUCUUUUGAAAGUUUCAUUUCUCAAUGUAUAUCAAUAAUCUGACACCCUGAUUUAUACCUCAGACUUAACCUGAAACCUAAAUCACUCCUGCAUAUAAAUAAUAAAUUGAACUUCUAAGCAUAUCAGCUCUGAGAACCAGAAUCUGGUACAUAGUUCAUCAGCUCCCGCCACACUUAAGAACUGACUCAUCAGGCAGUCAACCUUCCCUAGAGACACUCUUCUGUCCUGCUGCAUACCUCUGAAAACUGCAAUUUAUAUUCUGUUUUACAAACUAGAUGAAUGCUGCUUAGAAAUCUACAUAUGUAAUGCCCCCCCCCCCGGCCAAAAGACAAAUGCAUUCAUAUUUCAUGGUUUACAGCACUGUUACAUUAGCUCAUUUACUAAUCCAACAUCCUGAGAUGACCAGGACAUACAUGCUUAUUCCCAAUACUAGAGAAAUGAAAGUUUUCAUAAAAAAACAUGCUGCUAAUAAACAGACUAGGCUAGAUUAGAAUUCAGAUCUUGGUCUCCAAAUCUAGUUGUUCCCUAAACUUUAGACACUGUAAUUGUUUAAAAGUCCAACCCAAUAAAACCAAGAAAGCCUGCACUUCUGCCAGAAAAACCAAUGAUUAUUUUCUGCAAUCUAAAUAGCAAUCAGAGAAAUCCUUUAAUAAAUAAGAUAAUCUUACAGGGAUCAGGAUAAACUGUAACUGAGAGAAAUGUUCAAAUUCGAAUAAAGGAAGGAAAGUUAUAAACAAAAACUUAUAAACAACACUAAAGGAAGUGCUAACAGAAACAAAACUUCCAUUUAAACUAAAUGAAGAAUUUCAAAUGUAAAUAAAAACAAAGUGCCUGCCUUCUCUUAAAAACUUGUUAGAAAACCUAUGAAAUGGCUUAGAGAUAGGAAGGACUGAAGUUAAUAAUUUGGUUUCAUUACAGAAGUGGUAUUAAGAAGUAUACAGCAUAGGUCACAGAGGCGGCUCAGUUCCAAUAUUGCAGUGGCUGUGGCAUAAGCCUACAGUUUCAGCUGCAAUGUGCCCCUAGCCUGGGAAUUUCCAUAUGCCACAGGGCACAGCCCAAAGAAAAAGAUGUUUAUUUGGAACCUUUAACACAAUGCAGAAGAACUUCCUUUAAUCUUACAUUUUAAAACAUAAAACUACUCCAAGAAUGGAACUAUAAUUGAAAAAGGAACUUAAUACUAAAAUUAGUUCACCGUAGGUUCAACCAAAAUUGUCACAAAGAAACAUGUUUCAAAUUUCAUUCUAAAAUUUCUAUCUUAGUUUGCUGUACGCCUUCAAGGGUUAGGCAGAGCAAAUGUCAGGUUAAUCUCUUUCCAGUCUCAUUUCAAUCAUUUCAACAUCUUCCAGAAAUAAAAUUAUAAUUAAAUCCAAGUUUAGCAAUGAAUGGAUAAGCUCAUCUACUGAGAAAGAGAGGGUAAGUGAUGUUAAGUGGGCUACAAGAGAGUAGAAAUUUUUAAAUAACUGCUGUGAGAAAGAACUAACUAGGAACAAAGAAGGAUUACUGGGUGAUGGUGAGGGUCCAAUUAAAAUUGGUGAGCAUGAAUAUUUAGUGGCUCCAGUCUGCAAAAUUGUGAUUUUUCUCCAUAUGUACUCAGCAGGUCAAAGCCAGGUACACAGAAAUCAGAAAAAUUAACUGAGCUGUGGUUGAGUACUGGUUGGACAGAUGCAAAGCAGCUCAACAUAUUUCAAAAGUUAAAGUUCCAAGCGAGAUAAGAAAAUUAAGGCAGGAAAGGGACAAAAGAGGUGUCAAAGGACUAGAAGGCUCAUUAAGAUUGAAAAGAAAGUAUCAAUGUCUGAAGUUCAAAAAAAUUAAAAAAUUCAACAAAAUAUGCAGAAAUUCAUGAAUAGAUCUUUUUAUGACAAAGCACCAUUUUUUUUAUUAUUUUAGAAAGUGGAAUGCUCCUUCCUAACAAUUCAAAUUUCCUUUUUUUAAGGGAACUUGAAAGGUUCCAAAUAGAAAAGGUCAAAUGUUUAAAGUACUAUAAUUGCAAAUUUAUAUGUUCCUCAACAUUUCUAUGUAAAGCAAAUAUUUUUCCAAUGAUAUUUUGAAUUAACUAAGUAAGCUUCCAAAUUUUUUAGUGAAUCAAAGAAACUUUACCAAAAAUCUUACUGUAAGCAAAUCUGUCACCCCACACUCAAUAUACCACCCUUUAAUAGACAAGAGUUUGUGUGUGUGUGCGUGUGCUUAAAGUGAAGUUACAUGACAAAACAAUUACUUUCUAUUUCUAAGCUCUAACUUGACCUUAAGUGAACCUAGUCAGUAACAUUAUGUAAUGAAUGAAUGAAGUAAUAAAGUAGAAAGGAAAAAGGUGGUUGAAAAGAUUUGGGAACAAUGGAAUAAAGGAAUUAAUUUUAGCAAAGAUGAUGUUUUCAGCAUAUCUGAAGCUGGAAAGAAAAAAUCUUUUAAAAAGGUUUCAAGUAGUAUACAAUCAAGCUUAGUAUAUGAUACAAAUCUAAAUUAUUCAAUUUGGUUGAAUUUAAGUACUAUUUAUUGAAUGUUUAUCAGUUUGCCCAACAUGUGCUCUGCUGCUAUGGAGCACACACAAAAGCAACAUGUCCCUACCCUGAACACACUUCACAGUAUAGAAAAGAAAGCCACAUGCGAAUUAUCACAAUACAAACAGUAUUUAAUUAAGUGCCAACAAGUAAGAUAGUUACAGCAGGGUAUUUACAACUUAACCAAUAUGAUUACUAUCAGGGGGCAAGGUGGGGAGAAGAAUAUCACACCAAAAAAAAAAAAAAAAAAUCACUAUCAGAUCUCACAGGAGUACCUGUUUCUGGAAUGCCUGGCUAUGGUUUGGACUGAAGAGCCACAACUGUGUUCCUACUGAAGCAUGGUGGUAAGAGACCUGUGUUUUGUAUGUUAAGAAAAUAUUAUUCACAUAUACAUAUGCAUGCACCACUUAUGCACACAGGGAUGUUGAUUUGGUUAAUAAACUUUCAGUAUCUGGUAAUGGUUACUGUCUUUUUUAAUAAAAUGGAUCAAAACUACUAGCAAACUUUUUUAAAGCUGUGUAAGUUAAACCAGAAAUUACAGCACAAUGUGAUAAAAGGGCAACUAGAUUCUCUAUCCAAGAUUAUGAUGUAUUUGCCUAUACCUCCAUCCUAUAAAAUUGUGCUUGCAUAAUUGUGCUUGCUCAAAACCUAUAUACAUGUGGAGCUUCACUGCUUUAAUUUCACCACUUAGCUUCUACAAUAUUGCCUAAGAACUAUUUACUUGUCACCCUCUGCAUCCAUUCUUUCAACAAUUUCUACCACUGACGGAAGAGCUCAUUGCAAAUAUAAAUUUUCACCUGCCAGUAAUCUUUAAAAGGUAAGCUUCCAUACACAGAAACACCAGUACCAUUGGUAGUGCUAUUAAUCCAUUUCGACCCAUAUCACAUGUUAAAUGCUCUGGUAUAGGAUACUUCUCACCAUCUACUAUAUUUCACCCAUUCAAAUACAUACAUUUUCUCCCGAUUUUUAACAUUUCUGAGGUAAAGAUACAUCUCACAAUCAGCAUUUUAUAACUGCGCUCAACAGAGAGUAACUGAACAGAGCUGCCAUUGUUCAUCCACGAACUCAGUCACAGCUAUUCACCCUGUCAUCAACUGAGUUAUUAUCAUUGUUAAUUUCAAGCAUGUUAAGCUUAUUUUUAAAAUGUCUUUUAAAGAGUUCCCCGGCACGCAGUAGAAAUGAAUCCGGCUAGGGAACCAUGAGGUUGCAGGUUCAAUUCCUGGCCUCACUCAGUGGGUUAAGGAUCCAGUGUUGCUGUGAGCUGUGGUGUAGGCUGGCUACAGUUCGGGUUGGCCCCCUAGCCUGAGAACCUCCAUAUGCCGCAGAUGUGGCCUUAAAAAAGACAAAAAAAUAAAAAAUAAAAAAAUGAACUACUCCUCUGUAAUUUGGUAUUGAAAUGAAAAGUUAUCGUGUAUAAAAAGGCAGAAAAAAACGAGAUUAGCAAAUCAAAUUUCCUUAUUGCUAGUAAUAAUCUCAAUUCCAUGUUUUCUUGCAAAGCAUCAAUAAAGUGAUUUAUGGGAUAUGACAACAGCCACAAGUAGAUGAAGCUGUACUAUGUUUUGUUACUGAGGACAGCCUAUCACAUGCCAAGUAAUAUAAAUGAAGGCAGAAGAAACUGUCUUCUCUCUGGGAAUAGAUAAAAGCAAGUGGCUGGUAAGACUGUGCAGGCAUAUGGCAUAUUCCUUCCUAUUGUACAUAAAAUAGUACUGUGUCUUCUCUUUUUUUUCCCCCUUUUUAGGGCUGCACUUGCAGCAUAUGGAUGUUACCAGGCUAGGGGUCGAAUUGAGCUACAGCCGCUGGCCUAUGCCACAGCUACAACAAUGCCAGAUCUAAGCCGCAUCUGCAACCUACACCACAGCUUGUGGCAACGCCGGAUCCUUAACCCACUGAGGGAAGCCAAGGAUCAAACUUUUGUCCUCAUGGAUCCUAGUCAGGUUUGUUAACCACUGAGCCACAAAGGGAAUUCCCUGUGUCUUCUCUUAAUGGCAACUCAGGUUCCAUGAAAUAAGACUUUAAAGAUUAGAAUCCUUCAUUCUUAGUCUUUCUCAUCUUGGAAUGGCACCACCAUUCACUCAAUUAUUAAAGUCAGAAACUUGGAAAUCAUCCUUGACUUAUUACCAAAACACAUAAAUAAUCACAACACUUCUCACUAUCAUCUCUACUGCAGCAUGGUCCAGGUACCAUCACCUGGACACUGCAACAACCUAACCCUUCCCUUUUCCAUUCCACCCCCAGCAAAAUCCAACAUUCACACAGAAGCUAGAGCAGAAGUUCUCAACCUUGCCACUCAGGACAUUUUGGGCCAAUACUCCUUGUUGGAGGGGGCUGUUCUGUAAUACUGUAGAAUGUUUAAUCUCUACUCAUUAAUGCCAGCAGUAUACACUAUCACCCCUGGUCAUGACAACCAAAAGUGUCUACAGAUUGCCAAGUGUCCCCUGGGAAGCAAAAUAUAACCUGCAGUUAAGAAUCACUGAGCUGAAGGAAUGAUUUUUAAAUAUUUCUCUGCUUAAAAUUCUCCAAUGGUUUCUCAUUUUACUUAUAACAAAAUCUGCACUCCUUAGAGUCCUUACUAACCCAAACAUAUCCUACAUAAUCCAAACUCUGGUCUACCCCUCUAAUGUCAACGUAAAGCCACUUUACUCUUCUUGCAUUAUGCUCCCUCCAAUGACCAUGACCUCUCAUUUCCUAAAAUAUCACAGCUAUUUCUUGCCAUAGAGAUCCUGCCUUUGCUCUUCUUUGUGCCUGGACCAUUCUUGCCAGGUUAUAUGCAAGCUCAGCUUAAAUUUCACAUCAUCAAAGAUGACUUUCCUGACUCUCCUUGUUUAUGUAUCCCAUUAUUAUCCAUCACAGUAAUUCUCAUUUAUUAUCUUAUACUUCUAACAUAGUAUAUGGUUAUUUUGUUUACCUGAUUGACUAUCUCUCACAUGAGGACAAAUACCUUGUCUGCCCUAUUCCCAGCAUCUAGGCAAAAUGAAAUGAACAACUAUUUAUUAACUGAAGAACCUUAAGUACUAGGUAAGUUGGCAUCAAUAACCUCAUCUCCACCUCCCUCUCAUUCCCCAUCUGUUUUUAUGAUCAUCUCCAUGAAGUGGAGGAAAGAAUGUGGACAUGAGAAGAAGAGCCUAACAAAGCCCUCAUCUAUAAAGUAUAUUUGCCAUCAUUAUGUUCCCUGAAGCACUGGGUGCUGAUUAAAUGACAUAUGUAAUGAAUCUAAAGCACUUGAAUGAUGUGAUAAAAAGCUUGUAUUCAAUAAAUGAUGGCUUUGUAUUUAAAGUACCAAGCACAAUAUCUGUACAGACAAUUGAUAGUCUGUACAGAAAAAUGAUAGUCCUCUUGCCCUUUUUAAAACAUUACUCUACCACCAACUAGCCUGAAUAUGGUAAUAAUGGAAUUCUAAGAGAUACCUCUCCCCUUCUGAGCCUCCAGGAAUACAACAUACCAUACUAGGUGUAACAUAGGUUAGACAUUCAUAUAUGUAUGUUGACUAAGAAAAGCCAAAUAUUCAUUAACUAAAGCUAAUUCAUCACAAAAUGACUUCAGAAUUGUAUUUCAAUUAGUUUCAGCAAACAAAAUAACCAUAAGCCUGAUACAGGAAAUAUUGUUAGCUAUUAAGGUUAUCACAUUGUUGUUACUAUUAUUUUGUUUCUUUGCAUCACUAUAGUUAAUAGCUGCCAUAGCCUAUAGCAUAUAUGCAAAACAUUUCCAUCAUUGCAGAAAGUUCUAUUAAACAGUACUGUAUCUGACUACAGGAUGGUUAGAAUGCCUAUUGAAAUAAUGCAUUAUCAUAUUUUCUAAUUUUUUAGGAAAUGCUUAUUAGAAGAAAGCACUCUAAACCUAAAGUAGUUUUUAAUCUAAUAACUUUGACAUGCAAUGAAGAACUUGGAUUUUGGUCCUAUUUAACAAGUCAAAUAAAAAAGUGGGGAAGGAAAGAGAGACUUUUUAUAAGCAUCUCUAUUCUACAAGAUAACCAAAUAAAUAAAUUUUGUACUCCCUUUCUACCUUACCCCAGUAAACGCUCUCUCAGUCAAAGGUAAUAAUUUUUCCUUUUAGAAAAGGAAUAAGUUAUUAUAUCCAAGUAUAAUUAUCAACAUUAAAAAAAACUAACUUGUGAUGCUGUAUCAUACAUGCUUCUUUAACACAAAUCUAGAAGAGGGUCUAACAAUUAGCUCAAUUUUAAAGUACUGAUUAGGAAAAAAGAUAUUUUGAGAUAUCUGCAACAUCUGCAACUUAAUUUGAAAAUACUUCUGGUUUUUAUUGAUAACAAAGUCACAGUAUUGCCCAUACAACUGAAAUUUCUGGCCUACAUUCAAAAUUGAAGAAAAUGCUACAUCUCACCUAGAGGUUGGUGAAAAUAAAAAUAUGAUUAUUUUUCCACCUAAGUUUAUGAACCCCAGGUUUAAAAAAAAAAGACUGUUUAAACCAUUAGACUUUAGAGUUAGAAAAACUUGGACUCAAACCUACCACUCCCUACCUAGACAACAGUGGCAAAAGAUACUUAAUCUCUAUACUUCAAAGAUCCAUGAAAUGUGAUUAAUACCAAUGUAAGACUGCUGUGUUAUUUAAUUAUUAUCAUGCUAUACAACACAAUAUUUGACACAUUCUCAAUAAAUGCGUAUACUAUUACAAUCAAUAACCAAAUUCUGUCUGUACUUCACAACCUUAUGUGUAUCAGAAAGACAGAAAUUUGAUGUUCAGUUGUUCUGGGGUAGAUUCCCAACCAUUCUUUGGUAUUUUUAAGGUUCUUGGGUCAUUCUAAUGUGUAGCCACUGACCUAAGGAUAAAGUUCAAAUUAGCCUGGCACACUAGGCACUCUGGUCACUGCCUACAGCUAUAUAUUUUAAUCAGUCCUAUUAGGUAACCCCAUGCUCUUCACAUACAGUCAAUUAAUGCUUCCUCAGGAAAUGGGCUACAGCAUGGCUCUCCAACUUUCAGCCUGCAUCAGAAUCACCACAAAGACCUGUUAAAACACAAAUUGCUGGUCUCU